CCAGGGUUGGUGCAUGUGCCUGUAAUCCCAGCUACUCAGGAGGCCAAAGCAGGAGAAUUGCUUGAACCCGGGAGGUGGAGGUUGCAGUGAACCAAGAUCGCACCACUGCAUUCCAGCCUAAGCAAUAGAGCGAGACUCCCUCUCAAAAAAAAAAAAAGAAGAAAAUCUUAAAGCUGUAUUAGGGCCUGUUAGGUUACUGAUAUUUGAAUGCCUAUUUACUUAUUUACUACAUUGAGUCUUUUGUUAUCCUCUGACCUAUAAAAUAUUUUAAUAAAUUACUGGUUUACUUCAAGGGAAAAGAAGGAAAAUGAGAAACAUACAUCUUUUUUUCACUCCUUAUCUCAUUCCUGUUUGGUGAUGGGAUGGAUUGGGGUAGGAAGGAAUGUUAAUAUGAGAGAAAUUUUAAAAUGUAUAAAAAAGUAAAAGGUUGUAUUGUUUUGCUCAGUUUGAAAUAAAGUGAAUACCAAUAGCACUUAAAAAUGUCUGCAUGGGCUGGGCACGGUGGCUCACGCCUGUAAUCCCAGCACUUUGGGAGGCCGAGGCAGGCGAAUCACCUGAGGUCAGGAGUUCGAGACCAGCCUGACCAACAUGGUGAAACCUUAUCUCUACUAAAAAUGCAAAAAUUAGCCAGGCAUGGUGUAGCUGGGAUUAUAAGUGCCCACCACCACGCCCAGCUAAUUUUUGUAUCUUUAGUAGAGAUGGGGUUUCGCCAUGUAGGCCAGGCUGGUCUCAAACUCCUGACCUCAGGUGAUCCACCCACUAUGGCCUCCCAAAGUGCUAGGAUUACAGAUGUGAGCCACCGUGCCUGGCCAGAAAAUCUGGAUUCUUAUUCCUAGUUCUUCAUUUCUGUCACAUGCACUUAGUUGACAUUACAUCUACAUAUAUUAGCUUUUUCCUACAUGAGCCAUCUAUUUACUUAGUAACCAGUGUUCUUAAUGAAGUAUUUAGUCUUGGGUUUCUUGUAAAAUUUCUCUGCAUUCCUUAGACAGUGUACUAUACAUGAAAUAUUCUUGUUGACCUAGUAAUUUAUAUUAUUCCAUUUAAUUCUUAAACCUAUGGCCUUUUUAUUGAGCACACUCUUAAAUCAUUAUUUGGCUUGUAAACAUUCAUCUGAAGUGUGGCUACAAUCCUCUUUAAAUAAUCUAGGAAAAAAGAAAGAUAAAGCUUACAUUUUCACAGUUUUGGCUCUUAAACACAUUCCACAAAUGCCAUUAAGAAUUUAUUUUGUUUUAGGCCAGUCAUGGUGGCUCAUGCCUGUAAUCCCAGCAAUUUGGGAGGCUGAGGCAAGAACUGCUUGAGCCCAGGAGUUUGAGACUAGCCUGGGCAACAUAGCAAGACCCUGUCUCUACC
rnacentral:lncRNA from 1 species